UGUAGGACUCUAAAGUGCGAUGGUACUCUAAAGUGCGAUGGUCACGCUAAAGUACGAUGGUCUACGCUAAAGUGCGUUGGUGUCGGACGCUAAAGUGCGAUGGUGUCGGACGCUAAAGUGCGAUGGUUGUUUGUUUUUAAAGUGCGAUUAGAAAUCACGCUAAAGUGCGAUGGUUUGACACGCUAAAGUCCGAUGGUGUAACGGGAAUGUGGUUCAGGCAAUGGUUUUCGUUUGUUGCUGAGUUCCUAUUACAUUUUCGUUUAAAUUGUUUUGAUUAUGUGUCAAGCCGUAGUCUUUAUCUUUUGAAUUGUUUUACACUGGUCAUUGUAUAACCCUAUAUAGCCUGUAGUGGCAUGGACCAAUGCUUUACUUUGACGGCCGUAUGAUUAUUAGCCGCAUACAUGAACGGCAUUUGGAAUUGAAUGGAUAGUUUACUCUACAUCUUCUUAUGUUUAUUUAAAGUACGAUAGUUGUUUAAAAGGUGUAAUGGUUACACAGAAGUAUUGUUUGUACAUCUGGAAUGUAGUGGAAGUCGUUUUUUUAAUAAAAAUAUUAUGUUAUAAGACAAUGCCCAGUGUUAAAGAUCAUACUUAAAGUUUCAUAUUUCAAU
rnacentral:lncRNA from 1 species